UACGGGGGGGGCAAGCGUUGUUCGGAAUUACUGGGCGUAAAGGGCUCGUAGGCGGCCGUCUAAGUCGGAUGUGAAAUCCCCAGGCUCAACUUGGGAACUGCAUCCGAUACUGGAUGGCUUGAAUCCGGGAGAGGGAUGCAGAAUUCCAGGUGUAGCGGUGAAAUGCGUAGAUAUCUGGAGGAAUACCGGUGGCGAAGGCGGCAUCCUGGACCGGCAUUGACGCUGAUGAGCGAAAGCCAGGGGAGCAAACGGG
rnacentral:rRNA from 1 species